AUUGAACGCUGGCGGCAUGCUUUACACAUGCAAGUCGAACGGCAGCGCGGGCUUCGGCCUGGCGGCGAGUGGCGAACGGGUGAGUAAUACAUCGGAACGUGCCCAGUAGCGGGGGAUAGCUCGGCGAAGGCCGGAUUAAUACCGCAUACGACCUGAGGGUGAAAGCGGGGGAUCUUCGGACCUCGCGCUAUUGGAGCGUCCGAUGGCAGAUUAGCUAGUUGGUGGGGUAAAGGCCUACCAAGGCGACGAUCUGUAGCUGGUCUGAGAGGACGACCAGCCACACUGGAACUGAGACACGGCCCAGACUCCUACGGGAGGCAGCAGUGGGGAAUUUUGGACAAAGGGCGAAAGCCUGAUCCAGCAAUGCCGCGUGUGUGAUGAAGGCCUUCGGGUUGUAAAGCACUUUUGGCGGGAACGAAAAGGACUGUGCCAAUACCACGGUUCGAUGACGGUACCCACAGAAUAAGCACCGGCUAACUACGUG
rnacentral:rRNA from 1 species